CAAAGGGAAGCGAACAUGUGAGUGCAAGCGAAUCCCAAAAAUAACGUCUCAGUUCGGAUUGUAGUCUGCAACUCGACUACAUGAAGCUGGAAUCGCUAGUAAUCGCGAAUCAGAAUGUCGCGGUGAAUACGUUCCCGGGUCUUGUACACACCGCCCGUCACACCAUGGGAGUCAGUAACGCCCGAAGCCGGUGACCUAACCGAAAGGGAGGAGCCGUCGAAGGUGGGACCGAUAACUGGGGUGAAGUCGUAACAAGGUAGC
rnacentral:rRNA from 1 species